AGAUCGAUGGCAUCGGGUCCCUAUUGUGUAAUGUUCCCCCCUGCUCUUCAGGGCCCAGUUGCCACCACUUCUAGAAUGUCCAUGCCAACUCUCUGUGUAGUACACUGAAGGCCCUGGAGUUUUAAAUAGCUAGGUGAGCCAAUGGGAAUUUGAGCUGAUCUACAAAUAGCACCUAAGCAGUCACUCCCUCCGAGUGAGGAGCUCCACCUUUCAGCGCCGCCUGGCUGGCCGACCUUCCAGCAGACUGACCCGAAGCAGGUGCCAUUGUUCUUAGUUUAGAAAUUGUGGAACGGACUCAGAGUUCAAAUGACUAGGUUGGAGGUCAAGAUUAGAGCUAGGACUGCAAAUGACACCUGAGUUGCUUUAGUUUUUUUCCCCCAAAUGUAGUAAAUGUCAUAAUGAGUUUCCUCUGUAAUAUUCAUGAUGCAGGAAAGAAAAUGCCAAUAAGUUUUUUUGGCAACAUUUUUAUUAUGGCAACAAAAAUAGACAGUUUAAAGCUCCACAGUGGAAAAAGGACUUGACCAAUUGAACUGUCAGCUUAGCCGCAUAUUAGCGCUCCUUCCAGACUAAGAUUUGGAGGCCCACGUGGAAAUGUUUGACAAGCACGUAAGCCCAAGGUUGACAGUGUGCUCUUAUGGUGUAGCUCUGGUGGCAGAGCAUGUAAAUACUAUGUUAGCUUGCAAGAAAGCAGGGACUGAUUGAUGCAAAGGCCAUGGAGAGGUGUCACUUACUGGCUUACUUCCUCCAGGACCACCCACCCAGAGGUGCCACUGCCCCCAGUGAGCUGAGCCCUCCUAUAUCAGUUAUUAACCAGGCACAUGCCUAGCAGACUUGCCUAGAGGCCCGUCUGAUAUGAGGCAUUUCCUCCUUUGAAGUUUCCCUUUCCCAGAUGACCCCUGCCAGCUUGUGUCAAGUCAACAAAUUAAAAUAUGGUUACAUUAUCACCCCCUUUCUUCUAACCCUUUCAUGAUCUCUUUUCCAAAUUUAUGACUGCCUUUGUCUUACUAUGGUUAUAUACAUAUAAAUAUACACAUAACUGUAUACAUACAACCUGCUGAGUCUCUUUACUGUUGCUCGUGUGUAUAUGUUUUCAGAGCUGACCUCCUGCUAUUGGGUAACCAGUUAGUGCCUCAUCCCUGGGGAAGACCAGCUCUCCCUUCUUCAGUGGUACUAACUGCCCAUGGCUUUUUGUCUAAGGGUUGCACCCCAUGAAACAUGUUUUUCAAAAACAUUUUCUUCAACACCUUCGUAGAUCUAGACUUUGUAGAUUCUCUCACACAUAGAGAAUGUUUUAUUGAUUUGUUUGGUUGAGGCAAUGUUCGAAACAUGUGUUGUCUCAUUAUCCAUCAGUUGUGUGAAAGGCUAAAGGAACUUGAAGUUUUUGAGCCUCUGUAAAAUAUAAAUUGUUACGAAUAAAAUUAUGGGAAAGCUAGAGAAAUUACAAUUAAAGGGAAUCUGUGGCACACAGUUGUACUGUGUGUACACACUUGCACACGAUGACACACUAAUUUCUAAAAAGUAUGUUUUCAAGAUAUUCUGUGAUUGCAAAAAUUAUGAUUUGUAACAAAACAAGAGAAACAAACCAGAGGAGUGAAAAGUAAAGGGUGGGGCUGAGGGAGGGUGGCUUUGAUCAUAUGUGUGUGCGUGUGUGCAUGCGUGUGUGCUUGUGUGUGUGUGUGCGCGUGCAUGCGCGCAUGUGUGUGCAUGCGUGUGUGCGUGAGUGUGUAUGUGAGUAUGUGUGUGAGUGUGUAAAAGCAUCAUACUGAACGCCACUGACAAAUGCAAUUAAUACAUCAUAGU
rnacentral:lncRNA from 1 species